rnacentral:tRNA from 2 species
GCCUGAAUAGUUUAAUAGGUAAAAUUGCUUACUUGUAAUAAGUCGUUGGCGGUUCGAGUCCACCUUUAGGCA